GGCAGAGAUCCUGAUGCGGGGCUCCAACCUACGAACCAUGAGACCAUGACCUGAGCUCGAAGUCGGACACUUAACUGACUGAGCCACCCAGGCACCCUUCUAGCUAUUCGUAGUGAUAUUUCUUUGUCUUCAUAGCACUUCUCACCACCUGAAAUGAGCUCGUAUGUUUACAAGAAUAAAAUUCCACAAAAAUUCAACACUCUAUCUCCAGUAUCAAGAAUAUUCCCUGGUGUAUUAUAGGUUCUCAAUAAAGAUUUGCUUAAUGGGUGAAUAAACAAGUGACUCCAGAAGCAUGACGUCUCCUCUAAAUUCUCCCCGCAGAUGCUCUCAGUAAUGUGAUCACCCCAGUGAUACAGGAGGGCACUACUUCUGUGCAUACGUCAUCAUUUAUAUCAAUGCGGAAAUGACAAAGAAGGAGAAGCUAGACCAUCUGGGGCCGUGGGAAGGUCUGGCAGAGAGAAAGUACUUGACAGCGAAAGUACUUGGGAGGCCUGACUUCAUCUCCUCGUAUCCAGGGACUGACUGAAACAACACAGACAAGGGCCAUUUAUGGAAGUCUGUCCAUAACUGACUUAUUCAUCUGUAAUGCGCAGUUACUGGUUUUUGAGCAUUUCUGAGCAUCUAUGACGGACAAUCACUGUUGGAUGUUGAGGAUACCAAGAUGUAGCAAGUACCCUGGGAACAGCGAGGAUGGAGCAGUGAGCCGCUACGCCUGGGGGUUGGUGCAUCUGAGAGGAGUAUUGAAGGAGGAGGGAGUUUGCCAGACACAGAACGGGAGCAACGAUGCUUUCGAAAGUGUCAUAUGACUUCCCUUUUGGAUUCUGAGAAUAUGCCCAGCAUAAGAAGGCAAGCAUAAAGUGUGCCGAAUGGGCCUAACCUUGUAGUCCCCAUACUUGAUGCCCCCAGAAGUGGACUGCGAGCUCGAGGAAGUGGGGGAGGGCAGUGAGUGUAUCUGGGACAUGACACAGCAAGGAACAGUGUGGAGAGCCUGGAAUCUGCAGAGGGAAACUAAGAAACAGUAAUGGAGAUUCGGCUUUUGUAAAUAGAGUUUGGGGAACAUUGGGGAGUAGAUUAUAAGGAACAUAAUUUAGGUCAAAACAAUAUGGAGGAGGAUGUAAGUGAAGCAAAAGCCCUUAGACAGAGGGGUAAGGGAGAUGGUCCUGGCUGAUUUAUCUUCAAAAAAUUUUUUUAAACGUUUAUUCUUUUUUAAGAGACAGAGAGAGACAGAGCACGAGUGGGGGAGGGCAGAGAGAGAGAGGGAGACACAGAAUCCGAAGCAGGCUCCAG